GUGGGGAAUAUUGGGCAAUGGGCGAAAGCCUGACCCAGCAACGCCGCGUGAAGGAAGAAGGUUUUCGGAUCGUAAACUUCUAUCCUUGGUGAAGAUAAUGACGGUAGCCAAGAAGGAAGCCCCGGCUAACUACGUGCCAGCAGCCGCGGUAAUACGUAGGGGGCAAGCGUUGUCCGGAAUGAUUGGGCGUAAAGGGCGCGUAGGUGGCCCGGUAAGUCUGAAGUGAAAGUCCUGCUUUUAAGGUGGGAAUUGCUUUGGAUACUGUCGGGCUUGAGUGCAGGAGAGGUAAGCGGAAUUCCCGGUGUAGCGGUGAAAUGCGUAGAGAUCGGGAGGAACACCAGUGGCGAAGGCGGCUUACUGGACUGUAACUGACGCUGAGGCGCGAAAGUGUGGGGAGCAAACAGGAUUAGAUACCCGGGUAGUCC
rnacentral:rRNA from 1 species